GGUUUAAGUCAAAACGACUCUCGGCAACGGAUAUCUCGGCUCUCGCAUCGAUGAAGAACGUAGCGAACUGCGAUACUUGGUGUGAAUUGCAGUAUCCCGUGAACCAUCGAGUCUUUGAACGCAAGUUGCGCCCGAAGCCAUUCGGCCGAGGGCACGUCUGCCUGGGCGUCACACAUCGUUGCCCCCCUAAAAACCCCACUCCACUCCUUGUUGGGUGUGUUGUGGAUCGAUCAGGGGCGGAGGAUGGCCUCCCGUGCGCACUUUGACUCGCGGUUGGUCCAAAAUUGAGUCCUCGGUCACAUCUUCGUGGCAAUAGGUGGUUGUCGAUCAUUCGGUGCCCCGUCACGUGUGUCGGCCUUGCAUCGGGACUCUU
rnacentral:rRNA from 1 species